rnacentral:lncRNA from 1 species
AGUGACACGCCUGAGCGUAGAUGCUUUCCAGUGACAAGUUGCCGCACAUUAUCACUAGUUGUGAAAUCCACUGCAGAUCAUGAGCAUUAACCAAUAAUUGUCAGGAGUUCAUUCGGAAACUAUGACCAGAUCAUUGGGCAUGGCUGAAAAAAUCAAUUCAAACUAUGUAUGAUUUAGGUGUGGCCUGUAGGUAAUUUAACUUGCAGCUAACCAUUGGCUGGGCGGCCACAUGAAUCAUGUUAUCUACUUAA